UACGUAGGCAGCAAGCGUUGUUCGGAGUUACUGGGCGUAAAGGGUGUGUAGGCGGUUGGAUAAGUGUGGUGUGAAAUCUCCCGUGCUUAACUGGGAGGGUGCGCUACAAAACUGUCUGACUAGAGUGUGGGAUGGGUAAGUGGAAUUCCUGGUGUAGCGGUGAAAUGCGUAGAUAUCAGGAGGAACACCGGUGGUGUAGACGGCUUACUGGACCAUAACUGACGCUGAGACACGAAAAGCGUGGGUAGCAAAACAGG
rnacentral:rRNA from 1 species